AGCGAACGCUGGCGGCAGGCCUAACACAUGCAAGUCGAACGAAGUCUUCGGACUUAGUGGCGGACGGGUGAGUAACACGUGGGAACGUGCCUUUAGGUUCGGAAUAACUCAGGGAAACUUGUGCUAAUACCGAAUGUGCCCUUCGGGGGAAAGAUUUAUCGCCUUUAGAGCGGCCCGCGUCUGAUUAGCUAGUUGGUGAGGUAAAGGCUCACCAAGGCUACGAUCAGUAGCUGGUCUGAGAGGAUGACCACCCACAUUGGGACUGAGACACGGCCCAAACUCCUACGGGAGGCAGCAGUGGGGAAUCUUGCGCAAUGGGCGAAAGCCUGACGCAGCCAUGCCGCGUGGAUGAUGAAGGUCUUAGGAUUGUAAAAUCCUUUCACCGGUGAAGAUAAUGACUGUAGCCGGAGAAGAAGCCCCGGCUAACUUUGUGCCAGCAGCCGCCGUAAGAC
rnacentral:rRNA from 1 species